rnacentral:rRNA from 1 species
UGAGGAACAUGACCUUCGGCGGGGGAUAGCCGGCCCAACGGCCGGGUAAUACCGCGUACGACCUUUUGGGGACAUCCCCGAUUGGUGAAAGCAGCAAUGCGCCGAAAGAGUGCCUCGCGGCCUAUCAGCUAGUUGGUGGGUAAUGGCUCACCAAGGCGACGACGGGUAGCCGGCCUGAGAGGGUGACCGGCCACACUGGGACUGAGACACGGCCAGACUCCUACGGGGAGGCAG